UUUUAUCAGCAUGAAGGUUUAUUUCUCUAUGGCUCCUUCAGGGAAGAAGAGAUGCAGGUUAAUCUGGGGGAUUAGGCACAGCAGAUUUAUUCAUAGUUGGACCCCAGCUUUGGAGAGGUGAUGGAAGCCACACAGCUGAGGAUAAAAGACAGCCCUGGAAGGCUUCUACUGCUUCUGCUACCUGAGUCACACACAAAGUCCUGGAUGGAAUGUUACAGUAUUCUUUCCUGGGUGGAGUUCACUGAGGAAUCCUGGGCAGUGUCUCUCUGAGGACACGGAUCUGCCUGUGCACAGGAGGAGACUAUGAAGGCUGUGUAGAGGAGCCUGAGCCGUCACUGACCAACUUGAGUCACAACCAGCCCUCUGGAGCCAACCCUUUAGAAACCAUUCUAACUGAAACAGUGCCAGUGAGAGCGGAGGCCCUGGCAUCGCGCCUACUCCUGAGGCAGCCCCUGCAGCCGACAUUUACCAACCACAUCUGCGUGCCAAGUGCAGUGUCAAAGAUAAGCCGGGGUGAGCUGGGCACGGUUCCUGCCCUCAAGCCAACUUGAGUGUAAGUGGCUGCAGCCGAGGGAGGACUCUCUGGGCGUCUCUUUCACAGGACAAGAAGUUCCCCCAGGAAACACUAUCCAUCAUCUUUCCUCCCGCUCCUCCGUGACUCAUACUGAAAACUUCUAGGCUGACUUGGGCCUGAAAAAAAAAAAAAAAAGUAAGAAAGAAAAACGAGAAGUAAAUACAUUUGACAAUAAAUUUGAGAUCAUAAACCUUAGGAUUCGUUUUAUAAUUCCAUGCACUUCGAAGUCAGGCAAUAUUUUUCAUUCGAUGUGGAUUUAAAGGUAGCUCAGAAAAACACAGGAUUAACUCUAAGUGGUGAGGUGGUAAGCAAGAGCCAAACUUCCAAAUAAACACAUCAGAGACUUGGUCUAAAAAAAAGACAGGACACAAAUAACCUUCUCUUCAUG